UUUGACUUUGGAUCUCGCCGUCUUCAUCCAAGAUGUAAAAGGAGGAUGGCUUGGGCAGCGACUGUGGUGCGUCGGGAAAGGGCGGAUGGUGCAGUGCGUCAGUACCUUGGAAUACCACAAUCUCACCUAAGAGGAAAACACAGAUGAUGGAUUUACGAGGGCAAACAUAUCUAGAGAGUGGAAGUGGCGGCAAUGGAUGGAGAAGAAGAUAGUUAGAUCUAGACAAUGUUCAUGGUUGACGGUGGAGGAGAAGAUAGUUAGGUCUAAGGAGUGGUGGUGGCGGCGGCGGGUGGAGGAGAAUAUGGUCAGAUCUAGAAAAUAUUGAUGGUUGCAGGUGGAGGAGAAGAUAGGUGGAUCUAGAUAAUGUUGAUGGUUGUGUCGUGUGGGGGAUGGCUUUAUAGCCGCACGGUUUGAGAUUAGGGGUGCGACCACGAUCCGCGUGAUGCAAGGUGCGGGCCGUCAGAUUGGAGAUGGGUGGCGGAGAAUGGGGUAAAG
rnacentral:lncRNA from 1 species